rnacentral:tRNA from 1 species
GCGGGGGUGCCCGAGCUUGGCCAAAGGGGGCGGACUCAAGAUCCGCUGGCAUAGGCCUGCGUGGGUUCAAAUCCCACCCCCCGCA